GUGGGGAAUAUUGGACAAUGGGGGCAACCCUGAUCCAGCCAUGCCGCGUGAGUGAAGAAGGCCUUAGGGUUGUAAAACUCUUUCAGUCGUGAAGAUGAUGACGGUAGCGACAGAAGAAGCCCCGGCUAACUCCGUGCCAGCAGCCGCGGUAAUACGGAGGGGGCAAGCGUUGUUCGGAAUUACUGGGCGUAAAGGGCGCGUAGGCGGAUAAUCAAGUCAGGGGUGAAAGGCCUGGGCUCAACCUAGGAACUGCCUUUGAAACUGAUUGUCUAGAGACCGGAAGAGGAUGGCGGAAUUCCCAGUGUAGAGGUGAAAUUCGUAGAUAUUGGGAAGAACACCAGUGGCGAAGGCGGCCAUCUGGUCCGGUUCUGACGCUGAGGCGCGAAAGCGUGGGGAGCAAACAGGAUUAGAAACCCCAGUAGUCC
rnacentral:rRNA from 1 species